CCUACGGGAGGCAGCAGUGAGGAAUAUUGGUCAAUGGACGAGAGUCUGAACCAGCCAAGUAGCGUGAAGGAUGACUGCCCUAUGGGUUGUAAACUUCUUUUAUAUGGGAAUAAAAUGUUCCACGUGUGGGUUUUUGCAUGUACCAUAUGAAUAAGCAUCGGCUAACUCCGUGCCAGCAGCCGCGGUAAUACGGAGGAUCCGAGCGUUAUCCGGAUUUAUUGGGUUUAAAGGGUGCGUAGGUGGUUUUUUAAGUCAGUUGUGAAAGUUUGCGGCUCAACCGUAAAAUUGCAGUUGAAACUGGCAGUCUUGAGUACAGUAGAGGUAGGCGGAAUGCGUGGUGUAGCGGUGAAAUGCUUAGAUAUCACGAAGAACUCCGAUUGCGAAGGCAGCUCACUGGACUGCAACUGACACUGAGGCUCGAAAGUGUGGGUAUCAAACAGGAUUAGAUACCCUUGUAGUC
rnacentral:rRNA from 1 species